AUUGAACGCUGGCGGCAGGCCUAACACAUGCAAGUCGAACGGCGCGGCGGACGGGUAAGGGAUGCCUAGGAAUCUGCCUGUGAGUGACGGAUAACGUCCGGAAACGGACGCCAUUACCACAUACUAUAAACUGAGCCUCGGUGGGAUUAGCUAGUUGGUGGGGUAAAGGCCUACAAAGGCGACGAUCCGUAGCUGGUCUGAGAGGAUGAUCAGUCACACUGGAACUGAGACACGGUCCAGACUCCUACGGGAGGCAGCAGUGGGGAAUAUUGGACAAUGGGCGAAAGCCUGAUCCAGCCAUGCCGCGUGUGUGAAGAAGGUCUGCGGAUUGUAAAGCACUUUUAGUUGGGAGGCGUUACCAACAGAAUAAGCACCGGCUAACUUCGUGCCAGCAGCCGCGGUAAUAC
rnacentral:rRNA from 1 species